rnacentral:rRNA from 1 species
GACGAACGCUGGCGGCGUGCUUAACACAUGCAAGUCGAACGGAAAGGCCCUGCUUUUGUGGGGUGCUCGAGUGGCGAACGGGUGAGUAACACGUGAGUAACCUGCCCUUGACUUGGGAUAACUUCAGGAAACUGGGGCUAAUACCGGAUAGGAGCUCCUGCUGCAUGGUGGGGGUUGGAAAGUUUCGGCGGUUGGGGAUGGACUCGCGGCUUAUCAGCUUGUUGGUGGGGUAGUGGCUUACCAAGGCUUUGACGGGUAGCCGGCCUGAGAGGGUGACCGGCCACAUUGGGACUGAGAUACGGCCCAGACUCCUACGGGAGGCAGCAGUGGGGAAUAUUGCACAAUGGGCGGAAGCCUGAUGCAGCAACGCCGCGUGCGGGAUGACGGCCUUCGGGUUGUAAACCGCUUUCGCCUGUGACGAAGCGUGAGUGACGGUAAUGGGUAAAGAAGCACCGGCUAACUACGCG